rnacentral:rRNA from 1 species
UACGUAGGGUGCGAGCGUUAAUCGGAAUUACUGGGCGUAAAGCGUGCGCAGGCGGUUUUUUAAGACAGGCGUGAAAUCCCCGGGCUUAACCUGGGAACUGCGUUUGUGACUGGAAGGCUAGAGUAUGGCAGAGGGGGGUGGAAUUCCACGUGUAGCAGUGAAAUGCGUAGAGAUGUGGAGGAACACCGAUGGCGAAGGCAGCCCCCUGGGCUAACACUGACGCUCAUGCACGAAAGCGUGGGGAGCAAACAGG